rnacentral:rRNA from 1 species
GGCUACGACGGGUCGCUGGUCUGAGAGGACGACCAGCCACACUGGCACUGAGAUACGGGCCAGACUCCUACGGGAGGCAGCAGUGAGGAAUAUUGCGCAAUGGGGGAAACCCUGACGCAGCAACGCCGCGUGUGGGAAGAAGGCCUUCGGGUCGUAAACCACUUUUUGCACGGGACGAAAAAGGGNUAUCGAACAAAUAUCCCCGAUGACGGUACCGUGAGAAUAAGCCAACGGCUAACUCUGUGCCAGCAGCCGCGGUAAGCAGAGGUGGCAAGCGUUGUUCGGAAUUACUGGGCGUAAAAGAGUCUGUAGGUGGUUUGUCAAGUCUUUGGUGAAAGGCCGUAGCUUAACUAUGGGAAUGCCAAAGNGACUGGCAGGCUGGAGGCUGGGAGAGGGAAGCGGAAUUUCGUGGUGUAGCGGUGAAAUGCGUAGAUAUCAGAA